rnacentral:lncRNA from 1 species
UUCUACUUGCUUUGGCAUUAUGCCAUUUGGCAUGUCCCCAUCCAGGAGGGUAACAACACUAUCUUUCACACCCGGGCCAAGAACACAGGAAAGUGAAGUAGAAGAGUGGAUAAGGCCAAUCCCACUAAGUAGAAGGCUAAGCAGUGCUGAGCCCUUAACAAAAGCCACAACUUCCAGCUGAUCUUUACUGUGUUUCAAGACCUGUCACUCAGGGCCAGCUUCACGGUAUGAGAACUGUACAGGCCCACAACACCCAUGGUCAGAAGGUUCCCCUGUUUGUUUAAUGAUCUACUAUUGCUGUCCUGAAAUUUUUAAUAAUUUUAUCUUUGAACUUAUUUUUUGUAAGUUCAGUCUAAUGGGAUAAUGAAGCGUGUGCAUGAGCAGAAGAGAUAUUCACAGUAAGUUCUCUACUAUUUCUUGUGAUCUCACUUGCACAUAGAGUUCAUGGUGCCUCGUGAGCACAGAAUUCUGAUGGACCCAUCAUAGGUGAGAGUUCGGCGAGACUCAAAGCAAAUGUGAGGUAAGCCUGUUAUCAAAGUCAUUUGUUUUGUUUCCAUUGAGUAUUGGUAGAAUGUGUGCAUAUCAAGAAAUGAAAUAAGAACAAUUUUGAGUUGGUAUUUUUUGCAGUUUCUACUGGUUCAGUAACAACAAUAUACAUAUGCAUAUAUGAGCUAUGAAAUAUGAACUAUGUAAUUUCAGUGAUUCUGGAUAUCAGUAAAUGUUCUUAUAUUUUUGUUUAGAACUGCAAUUGCACAAAAUGAAGGUGAACAGUAGCAAUCACACUUAUGAUGAAAAAUUUUAAUUUCUCUACUUAGAGCAGCGUUAAAUAGCAAGUAUAAAACACCACGAUAACUUCAGAGAGACUUUGGAAGAAAGCAAUAAAACGUUUUCUGUCUUAUGCCUUUGAUGGCACAUUUUACUUUUUUUUAAAUUUUUUUAAACAACGGGCCACACACUUUCAUUUUGUCCUGGGCUAAACAAAUUAUUUAGCUUGCACUGAUAUCAUUUCACUAUUAAAAGAUAUACAAAGGUUGACUUUGGUGAUCCAGCUUCUGCAGAGUCAAGAUUAGUAAGGAUAAAAUUUUUGGUGCAAAGUGGGAGUAAGGAAAACAUUAGUAAGGAUAACAUUUUUGGUGCAAAGUGGGAGAAGGAGAAGGAAUAGCUCGGGAGGAUGCUACCAAAUUUGAGCCGCACAGUACAUUCCGGUCUAGUACAUUCUCGUCCCCUAUAGUACUCUGUUCUUUACAGAAGGAGGAGUUUAAAUGAUCACCACUGUAUGUGAGUCUGGGACCCCUUAUCUGAAACUGCACCACUUUGGUAUAUUUACGUUGUGAAAUCACUAGCUUUGGGUAACUGCUUCCUCCAUAUCCUGCUGCUGGCUGCAAACCUGCCCUGUGCAGACAACCCAUUUCUUCUGCCUGAUCUGCUCAAUAGCUCCACAUCAAGUGCUUGAAGGUCAAGUUACAUUUCAGGCUGGUAUCCCUGUGCCAUCAACAGCAGCAACCUACAUGGUUGUCACCUUGUCAACAGUUAGCUGGAGGCCACAUCAGAGAAGUGGAGCUCUUUGGCCAGGAAAGCCUGAAACAGGUGCACUUCCCUGACAGCAAGGACAUACCCAGUAACAAACAGCACUUCUACAUCUACUAGCUGCUGGACAUCCUGGACUAUGGGCUCAGCUUCCAGCUGCAGGGCCAGAACUUGUAUAUCAUCCAACUACGACAGCACAAAGUCUUCCGGAGUGAGCCUUGUACCUUAUCCAACAGCUCCCACCUCAAACCAAUCCAACAGAAAAUGAAGUCCAAGCUCUUCAGUCUGAAUCUUUUUCAAUGAGCUCAUCUCAUUCCAAAAGGGCCAAACCAACACACAACCACGAUUUGUGACCUCCUUUUUUAGGGAAGGGUAUCUUGACUAUAAGUCCUGAAACAAGAAAUUCAUUAUUCUAUAGAUGGUGUAUGGAGACUGAAGCUUGGUUGUUGCUGAAGUUCUUCUCAGGAGGGGUUCUUAAUUGACUGAUAGUAUCUAGACAUACAUCUCAAAGACUGAACCAUAAGGUAGAAAAGUUGAAGGAGCUCCAUCACAUCCAGCAAUCUCAUCAAUUGCAGACUGUAAUCCAGGCUUUCCUGAGCCCAACCUUGAUGCUGGCCAGUGGCCCUGACUCAUUCAC